UACGUAGGGGGCUAGCGUUGCUCGGAAUCACUGGGCGUAAAGCGCACGUAGGCGGCUUCUUAAGUCAGGGGUGAAAUCCUGGAGCUCAACUCCAGAACUGCCUUUGAUACUGGGAGGCUCGAGUCCGGAAGAGGUGAGUGGAACUGCGAGUGUAGAGGUGAAAUUCGUAGAUAUUCGCAAGAACACCAGUGGCGAAGGCGGCUCACUGGUCCGGUACUGACGCUGAGGUGCGAAAGCGUGGGGAGCAAACAGG
rnacentral:rRNA from 1 species